CACUCCUGCGGGAGGCAGCAGUGGGGAAUUUUGGACAAUGGGCGAAAGCCUGAUCCAGCAAUGCCGCGUGAGUGAAGAAGGCCUUCGGGUUGUAAAGCUCUUUUGUCAGGGAAGAAACGGUGAAAGCUAAUAUCUUUUGCUAAUGACGGUACCUGAAGAAUAAGCACCGGCUAACUACGUGCCAGCAGCCGCGGUAAUACGUAGGGUGCAAGCGUUAAUCGGAAUUACUGGGCGUAAAGCGUGCGCAGGCGGUUUUGUAAGUCUGAUGUGAAAUCCCCGGGCUCAACCUGGGAAUUGCAUUGGAGACUGCAAGGCUAGAAUCUGGCAGAGGGGGGUAGAAUUCCACGUGUAGCAGUGAAAUGCGUAGAUAUGUGGAGGAACACCGAUGGCGAAGGCAGCCCCCUGGGUCAAGAUUGACGCUCAUGCACGAAAGCGUGGGGAGCAAACAGGAUUAGAAACCCUAGUAGUCCC
rnacentral:rRNA from 1 species